AUGCUAAUAAUUCGGCAACACAUAUACUAAAAUGGAACGAUACAGAGAAGAUUAGCAUGGCCCCUCACGCAAGGACAACACGCAAAUUUGUGAAGCAUUCCAUAAUUUU